GGGGAUAACUAUUGGAAACGAUAGCUAAUACCGCAUAACAAUGGAUGACCCAUGUCAUUUAUUUGAAAGGGGCAAAUGCUCCACUACAAGAUGGACCUGCGUUGUAUUAGCUAGUAGGUGAGGUAACGGCUCACCUAGGCGACGAUACAUAGCCGACCUGAGAGGGUGAUCGGCCACACUGGGACUGAGACACGGCCCAG
rnacentral:rRNA from 1 species